UGACUGUGUUGUUCAGUGUCAUUGAUUUGGGGUUUUACGAUGGUUUUAGGGUUUAUGUAUAUAUAUAUGUUUUGUGUUGUAGCAAUAGUGCCCCAUUAUUUAGUGUCAUUUUUUCUAUGUGUAAAAUUUUGACAUUGUUGGUCUCAUUUUGUUUCUUGUUUGAUUGUCAAUUUGUCUUCUAGGGUUUGUGUUCAUUUUUUUUAAUCAGAUGAUUUUGAUUGUGGAACUUUAUUGAUUUAUAUGUAUGGUGGUUGAGUAGACCUUUUCUUAGAUUCUGAAUUUAGCUUUGAUUGUUCAAUUCUGUGAAAUAUAGGGGUGUGAUCAUACUUAAAAUUCUUAGUUCCUUUCUUUGAAAGUAUAGGGGUGUGAUUCUGAAAGUAUGAUUCUGAAAGUGAGAUAUAGGGGUGUGAUUCUGAAAGUAUUAAACUUGAUAUAAUUUGAGUGUGGUUUUUGGAUGAACCGUUGUUGAGCAUGGCAUUUUUUCUCUUCCUCUUCGAUUUCAUUUGGUUAUGCCUCUAAACUUCUAUCUCUUUCUUUUCUACAUUCUUCUAUUUUUUAUAUUUUUCCUUUUCUAGAUGGCUAUUUGUCACUAAAGAUGACAUCAAAGGCUUACCUUGCUUCCAGAUGAUCACUUUGAACUCUAGCAGCUAGCUAAAGAACUUCAGCUGCAUCACAAACUUUUUCUUCGAUGUUGGACUAUGUGGGUGUGCACAAGGCCAUUCGUGGGUUCAAUUGGAGUCAAGAGACUAGAGAUCUUGUAGCCUCUUUCUCUGCCUUUAUAAAUUGAUGCAAAAAGCAGCUGAAACGGAGCUAAUGAUUAGGUUCCCAUAUGGAGGUUCACUAUGAGACAACUGGUCCAGAGAUCUGGGAAGAUACAAGGCAAGGUGGACAUUUUUAUUGCAGGGAUCGGCACUGGUGGAACAAUUUCUGAGGUUGGUCGAUUCCUUAAACAGCAAAAUCCUAGCAUAAAGAUAUCCAGUGACGAAGUUGUAGAAACUACAAAGCAGCUGGCACUCCAAGAGGGCUUGUUGGUUAGUAUUUCUUGUUAAUUUUUAAACCAUUACUAUAAUUUGAGAGGAAACAUUAGAUCAGAGAUGCUUUAUUCUUCUGUUUUCAAUAUCUCUGUGUCUUAAAAAAGGGG